UGCGUAGGGGGCAAGCGUUAUCCGGAUUUACUGGGUGUAAAGGGAGCGUAGACGGCCAGACAAGUCAGAAGUGAAAGCCCAGGGCUCAACCCUGGGACUGCUUUUGAAACUGCCGGGCUGGAGUGCAGGAGAGGUAAGCGGAAUUCCUAGUGUAGCGGUGAAAUGCGUAGAUAUUAGGAGGAACACCAGUGGCGAAGGCGGCUUACUGGACUGUAACUGACGUUGAGGCUCGAAAGCGUGGGGAGCAAACAGG
rnacentral:rRNA from 1 species